CCCUCCGAAAGCAUGCAUGUUCGGCGGCCGAACCUCAAAGUUCGGCGGCCGAACCUGGGUUUUCCUCCAAAGAUUUUUCAUGCAAAAACUCAUUUAAUUCUUACUUAAAAACAUGAAAUACAUGAAAACAUUUCAUAAAAUCAUGGUUUUACCCUUCUAGAGGUUUCCGAUAUCCGAGGUCCCACCGGACGGUAGGGAUUCCGAUACCGGAGUCUAGCCGGGUAUUACACU
rnacentral:lncRNA from 1 species